rnacentral:rRNA from 1 species
GAUGAACGCUGGCGGCGUGCCUAAUACAUGCAAGUCGAGCGAACAGACGAGGAGCUUGCUCCUCUGACGUUAGCGGCGGACGGGUGAGUAACACGUGGAUAACCUACCUAUAGACUGGGAUAACUUCGGGAAACCGGAGCUAAUACCGGAUAAUAUAUUGAACCGCAUGGUUCAAUAGUGAAAGACGGUUUUGCUGUCACUUAUAGAUGGAUCCGCGCCGCAUUAGCUAGUUGGUAAGGUAACGGCUUACCAAGGCAACGAUGCGUAGCCGACCUGAGAGGGUGAUCGGCCACACUGGAACUGAGACACGGUCCAGACUCCUACGGGAGGCAGCAGUAGGGAAUCUUCCGCAAUGGGCGAAAGCCUGACGGAGCAACGCCGCGUGAGUGAUGAAGGUCUUCGGAUCGUAAAACUCUGUUAUUAGGGAAGAACAAAUGUGUAAGUAACUAUGCACGUCUUGACGGUACCUAAUCAGAAAGCCACGGCUAACUACGU